rnacentral:rRNA from 1 species
GACGAACGCUGGCGGCGUGCUUAACACAUGCAAGUCGAACGGAAAGGCCCUGCUUUUGUUGUGUGCUCGAGUGGCGAACGGGUGAGUAACACGUGAGUAACCUGCCCGUGACUUUGGGAUAACUUCUGGAAACUGGGGCUAAUACCGCAUAGUAGCUCCUGCUGCAUGGCGUGGGUUGGAAAGUUUCGGUGGUUGGGGUAGGACUCGCGGCUUAUCAGCAUGUGGGUGUGGUAGUGGCUUACCAAGGCUUUGACGGGUAGCCGGCCUGAGAGGGUGACCGGCCACAUUGGGACUGAGAUACGACCCAGACUCCUACGGGAGGCAGCAGUGGAGGAUAUUGCGCAAUGGGCGGAAGGCUGAUGCAGCAACGCCGCGUGCGGGAUGACGGCCGUCGGGUUGUAAACCGCGUUCGCCUGUGACGAAGAGUGAGUGACGGUAAUGGGUAAAGAAGCAACGGCUAACUACGUG